UGAGGAAGUAAAAGUCGUAACAAGGUUUCCGUAGGUGAACCUGCGGAAGGAUCAUUAUAGAAAGUAAACGCGGGUCAAACCGCGAACUUCUAAACCCUUGAGAAUUGACCAAUGUUGCCUUGGUGGGUUCGCCCGCCGGAGGAUACAUCAAAACUCCUGUUUAACGGUGUUGUCUGAGCUAUAAGCAACGAAUCAAAACUUUCAACAACGGAUCUCUUGGUUCUGGCAUCGAUGAAGAACGCAGCGAAAUGCGAUAAGUAGUGUGAAUUGCAGAAUUCAGUGAAUCAUCGAAUCUUUGAACGCACAUUGCGCCCCUUGGUAUCCCGAGGGGCAUGCCUGUUCGAGCGUCAUUUCACCACUCAAGCCUGGCUUGGUGUUGGGCGACGUCCCCUUUCCGGGACGCGCCUUGAAAUGCUCGGCGGCGUGGCACCGGCUUUAAGCGUAGCAGAAACUUUCGCUUUGAAAGUCGGGGCCCCGUCUGCCGGAAGACCUACUUUAAGGUGACCU
rnacentral:rRNA from 1 species